rnacentral:rRNA from 1 species
CUCGUAGGUGGUUCGGUAAGUCGGAUGUGAAAUCUCCAGGCUCAACCUGGAGGGGUCAUUCGAUACUGCCGUGACUAGAGUUCGGUAGAGGAGUGUGGAAUUCCUGGUGGAGCGGUGAAAUGCGCAGAGAUCAGGAGGAACACCCGUAGCGAAGGCGGCACUCUGGGCCGAUACUGACACUGAGGAGCGAAAGCGUGGGAGCGAACGA